GACGAACGCUGGCGGCGUGCUUAACACAUGCAAGUCGAACGGAAAGGCCCUGCUUUUGUGGGUUGCUCGAGUGGCGAACGGGUGAGUAACACGUGAGUAACCUGCCCUUGACUUUGGGAUAACUUCAGGAAACUGGGGCUAAUACCGGAUAGGAGCUCCUGCUGCAUGGUGUGGGUUGGAAAGUUUCGGCGGUUGUGGAUGGACUCGCGGCUUAUCAGCUUGUUGGUGGGGUAGUGGCUUACCAAGGCUUUGACGGGUAGCCGGCCUGAGAGGGUGACCGGCCACAAGGGGACUGAGAUACGGCCCAGAAUCCUACGGGAGGCAGCAGUGGGGAAUAUUGCACAAUGGGCGGAAGCCUGAUGCAGAAACGCCGCGUGCGGGAUGACGGCCUUCGGGUUGUAAACCGCUUUCGCCUGUGACGAAGCGUGAGUGACGGUAAUGGGUAAAGAAGCACCGGCUAACUACGUG
rnacentral:rRNA from 1 species